rnacentral:lncRNA from 1 species
UGUUGACAUUGUUGGUGCUUAUGGCCGCUGGGAGCGGUCGUGGGCAUGGCAGGGGUCGUCGAGGGGCCUCUAAAAGGACACGUACUACUGCUGAGGCAUCUGGUUCUGAUCCAGAUUAUCAAGCUAGUUCUCCCGAGGAAGCGGAAGAACCUGUUGCUCGUCCUGACAAAGGAAAGGGCAUAGCUGGAGAGUCCUCACGAGGUGGUUCUCGUGCUCGUGAGGGUCGUUCAAAACAGGCCGCGGAUAUUCCCCCAGAGCGGCGGAGGAUGUUCAUGAGCAAGUCAUGUAUUGCAGAGCGUUAUGCCAACUUCAA